rnacentral:lncRNA from 1 species
UACUAAGUGAUAUGCUUUGUGUCUUACUUUUGUUGAUUAUCAUUGCAACUUUGUUUCUUUUAAUAUCCAGCUUCAAGUUACCUACUAUGAAUCAUCCGAAAAUAAAGCUGUUACCCAAUAUUACAACUGACUUCCCAAAACACUUGGAAAUAAUGAAACAGAAGACUAAUGCAACCUGAAGAUGAGAGCUAAUGAUGAUACUGAUGAAAAAGAAUCAGUUAAAAAUUCUGAGGAAAUCCCAUGAAUAAGCAAGAAACAGCCAAAAGACCAGCAAGCCGGCUCUCAGAAGCAGAGAAAGCUCUACGUUAAUAAGCAACAACAACAAAAAAAAAAGAAAAAAAAAGAAAAAAAUAAAAAAAUAAAAAAAAAAGAAGAGAAAGGCACCAUCUGGCUUUGCCCUUCCCACAGAAAUGUCAGGCUUUUGACUUGCUCUGGAAGUGUCCAGAAGCCACACAUCAGGACUGGGAGACUCAGAAGUGGGAUCCUGGGGAAUGCUCUUUCAAGUGAGCAGCUUUCCAAGAAAAUCAUACCUGAAGUGUGUGCAUGUCCUGGAAGACCUUGUAAGGACUGGAAUCUGAAACCUUCUUCAUCUGGAACUUCUACAGUCUGGUUUUCCACUACAUCAGUGCAAGCAAAUUACCAAAAUGUCCAUAAAAACAACAACAAAUCCACAAUCAUGAAAGAAUGCAACAGCCGGAAAAGAGAAAGGUGA